AUUGAACGCUGGCGGCAUGCCUUACACAUGCAAGUCGAACGGUAACAGGUCUUCGGAUGCUGACGAGUGGCGAACGGGUGAGUAAUACAUCGGAACGUGCCCGAUCGUGGGGGAUAACGGAGCGAAAGCUUUGCUAAUACCGCAUACGAUCUACGGAUGAAAGCAGGGGACCGCAAGGCCUUGCGCGGACGGAGCGGCCGAUGGCAGAUUAGGUAGUUGGUGGGAUAAAAGCUUACCAAGCCGACGAUCUGUAGCUGGUCUGAGAGGACGACCAGCCACACUGGGACUGAGACACGGCCCAGACUCCUACGGGAGGCAGCAGUGGGGAAUUUUGGACAAUGGGCGAAAGCCUGAUCCAGCCAUGCCGCGUGCAGGAUGAAGGCCUUCGGGUUGUAAACUGCUUUUGUACGGAACGAAAAGCCUCUUUCUAAUAAAGAGAGGUCAUGACGGUACCGUAAGAAUAAGCACCGGCUAACUACGUGCCAGCCGCCGCAGUAA
rnacentral:rRNA from 1 species